GCAAGUCGAGGGGCAGCAUCACUUCGGUGGAUGGCGACCGGCGCACGGGUGAGUAACGCGUACACAAUCUACCUCUAAGUCUGGGAUAACCCUGGGAAACUAGGAAUAAUACCGGAUGUGAUCACAAUAUGGCAUCAUAUAGUGAUUAAAGAUUUAUUGCUUAGAGAUGAGUGUGCGUCCUAUUAGCUAGUUGGUAAGGUAACGGCUUACCAAGGCAAUGAUAGGUAGGGGGCGUGAGAGCGUGGAC
rnacentral:rRNA from 1 species